rnacentral:rRNA from 1 species
AUGGCGGCGACCACAUCCGCUCCGCUGUCCCCUUCCUGCGUAGCUGCUCAACCCCCUACUUCUCGACGUCCCAAUCCGGCUGCCCGACUUCCCAACUACUUCUUCUCACCACGCUUCACCACCUCAAGGAGUAAAGCUCACUGCUCACCGUGGUUCUCCUCGGCUAGAACAAGCAGCAGAUGCAUCAUUGAACAAAUUUUAGUUUAUGUUUUUACUGAUGAUCAGGGGGCUUCUUCUGCUGCCGCAACCGGAAGAACACGAAAAGAUCCAGCCUGGGAGCAUGCUUUACCAAUUAUUGAUGAAUUCAGAACCAAGAACAGAGUUGGAUGCAGAUACUGCUUGAACUUUUUCAAUGGUGGCAUUACCAGAUUUAAGAAGCACUUGGCUGGAAUAAAAAAGGAUUCUGUAUGUUGCCGACAGGUUCCUGAUCAUGUUAAAGAGCAGAUGCUUACAUUGAUAGCUGAGAAUGAGAAAAAGAAGGAUAAAUCACUGAAGAAAAUGUUGGAGUUGCAAGAGGAGGUUAGGGAGAUGUAUGGUCAGAGUGGGAAUGAGGAUUCAGAUUUUGCAAUCGUUGAUUAUCUUGCUACUACAGCAAGUGGAAUCUCUCAAGUUCCUAAGAAGCCUCAGACCAAGGGUCCAAUGGAUAAGUAUCGAGCACGGCCAGGAUUGGGAAAGCAAACUACAGUGAAUGCACAUUACAAGGUCAAAGAAGCAAAGAUAACAUAUGAUUAUAUCUGUCACUUCUUUAUUGAGGGUGCCCUUGCUCAUAAUAUUGCUAGUCUUACAUCAUUUGCUCGAACGGUAGAAGCAAUGGUUGUACUUUUGGUUAUUAGGCGAUGGUCUAAUGGAUCAUGGUAA